GACGAACGCUGGCGGCGUGCCUAAUACAUGCAAGUCGUGCGGACUUUGCGGGAGCUUGCUCCCGAGAAGUUAGCGGCGGACGGGUGAGUAACACGUGGGCAGCCUGCCUGACAGACUGGGAUAACAUUCGGAAACGGAUGCUAAUACCGGAUAAGCAACGAAGAGGCAUCUCAUUGUUGAGAAAGGCGCUGCGGCGUCACUGUUAGAUGGGCCCGCGCGGCAUUAGCUAGUUGGGGAGGUAACGGCUCACCAAGGCGACGACGCGUAGCCGACCUGAGAGGGUGAUCGGCCACAUUGGAACUGAGACACGGUCCAGACUCCUACGGGAGGCAGCAGUGGGGAAUAUUGCACAAUGGAGGAAACUCUGAUGCAGCAACGCCGCGUGAGUGAUGAAGGUCUUCGGAUUGUAAAGCUCUGUCUUCUGGGACGAUAAUGACGGUACCAGAGGAGGAAGCCACGGCUAACUACGUGCCAGCCGCCGCUGUAACAC
rnacentral:rRNA from 1 species